rnacentral:lncRNA from 1 species
AAGAGACAGCGCCGCCGGCCGUGGGGAGCGGACGCAGCGAUUUGCUCCCCUUCGCGCAGCAACCCCCACACCCAGCACCAGGCCCCCAGAACUCUCCUUCCAGCUGAACUCUCUGAGAACAAGUCAGUUGGGCUGAUCACUGAACUCACAUUUCUGGACCUGAGGAGCCUGUUCCUCUCACACCCUCACCUGGCUGAGCCGCAGUAGUUCUUCAGUGGCAAGCUUUAUGUCCUGACCCAGCUAAAGCUGCCAGUUGAAGAACUGUUGCCCUCUGCCCCUGGCUUCGAGGAGGAGGAGGAGCUGCUUUCCCCAUCAUCUGGAAGGUGACAGAAAUGGGCUGGGAAGGUCCGAACAGCAGGGUUGAUGAUACGUUUUGGGAAAGUUGUAGAGCCUUUGCCCAGAUUGGCCCAGCAAGGAGCGGUUUUAGAUUAGAGACACUGGCUGAAUUGAGGAGUAGAAGGCUCAAACAACCCAAGGUGGUAUGUGAUCCCCAGCUCAGGCCUGUGCAGACAGGAAAUUCUCCGCUGCAGCAAGUAGGGGAGGUGGGUUGUGGGAUG